rnacentral:rRNA from 1 species
UGGGGAAUAUUGGACAAUGGGCGAUAGCCUGAUCCAGCCAUGCCGCGUGUGUGAAGAAGGCCUUUUGGUUGUAAAGCACUUUAAGCGAGGAGGAGGCUACUUAGAUUAAUACUCUAGGAUAGUGGACGUUACUCGCAGAAUAAGCACCGGCUAACUCUGUGCCAGCAGCCGCGGUAAUACAGAGGGUGCGAGCGUUAAUCGGAUUUACUGGGCGUAAAGCGUGCGUAGGCGGCUUUUUAAGUCGGAUGUGAAAUCCCUGAGCUUAACUUAGGAAUUGCAUUCGAUACUGGGAAGCUAGAGUAUGGGAGAGGAUGGUAGAAUUCCAGGUGUAGCGGUGAAAUGCGUAGAGAUCUGGAGGAAUACCGAUGGCGAAGGCAGCCAUCUGGCCUAAUACUGACGCUGAGGUACGAAAGCAUGGGGAGCAAACAGG